UACGGGGGGGGGCAAGCGUUUGUUCGGAAUUACUGGGCGUAAAGGGCUCGUAGGCGGCCAACUAAGUCAGACGUGAAAUCCCUCGGCUUAACCGGGGAACUGCGUCUGAUACUGGAUGGCUUGAGUGUGGGAGAGGGAUGCGGAAUUCCAGGUGUAGCGGUGAAAUGCGUAGAUAUCUGGAGGAACACCGGUGGCGAAGGCGGCAUCCUGGACCAUUACUGACGCUGAGGAGCGAAAGCCAGGGGAGCAAACGGG
rnacentral:rRNA from 1 species